rnacentral:lncRNA from 1 species
UGGUCUUUGGUGUGCUGCCAAGCUGACUGUCCUGAGUGUGACAAAGCAAGGGAGGGGCCCAGUGGGCCCCAGUCAAUGAGAAACAGAUCUGCCCUAAAAAUAACAGUGAAUGAACAGGCUUGCUUACACUGUCUUGCUUCAGAACUGGUUUGGCACAAAAUCAGACCUAAUGAUAGGUUCAGAAGGAAAAAUUCAUGGUUGGGAUUUGGAAUCCUCUGAGCCAACCAGUUAUCCACAAACAAGUCCACGGCUCUUCCGCUGGGUUUCCCAGAAGGUCUUCCAGGACAGGUCUCUUGUCAUCAUGGAGGACUCCACAGUCCUAUCUGGAGUCGCCUACUCCGGAGUGGAGAGAUGGAGAAGGCUAAUCUUCACAAAAUCAACCAACAGCAGCAGUGAUGGCUGAUGACAGCAUGAAGAAGAAUCCUUCCUGUUGGAGCCAUUGAUCAUCUAUUCCCAUGACUAAUUGUGUGAUCCUGUUAAUGUAACAAAAUACCUGAAGCUGGGUACUUUAUAAGAAAAGAGGUAGGUUUAGUUCAUGAUUUUGUAAGCUGCAUUGUGCCCACUCUAACAAGAGUCCCUCUGACUUCAUCACACAAGAGUGGAUUAUAUAAUUGUGUACAAGGAAGGCCACACAUAAAAUGGGGAGGGGUCAGCCUUGCUCUUUCAUGAUAACCUUCUCAAGAGAACUCUCUGAGGUACGGCAAAAACUGUGUCAAUUUCUUCUGAGGAAGAAAUCUUACAUAGCCACACUUGAGGGACACAGUAAAACCACACCCAAAGCAAGUACUAGAAAGGUGCUGAGGGCCAAAUUGGUUAACAAGGGCCCCAGGACACCCAGAGCUCUGGCCUUCAAGUCUCCUUCAAGU